AUCCAGCUGACGAGUCCCAAACAGGAUGAAACACGCUUCAUGAAU
rnacentral:hammerhead_ribozyme from 1 species